CUAAUAAGCACAGUGACAGAGGGACCCGAGGCUUUUUUUCGGGGGAUGACUGAAGCUAUCACCUUGCUAAUCCUUGCUGUCCAAACUGGCCUCAUUGAGCUGCAGGAGUUUGUGGAAGCACUUCCGUGCAGUUUCUCUCUGUCUCUUCCUGCUGAUCUUUCCAGCGUACAUGGCUUAUAUGAUCUGCCAGUUCUUCCACAUGGACUUCUGGCUUCUCAUCAUCAUCUCCUCCUCAAUCCUCACCUCUCUCCAGGUGCUUGGCACUCUGUUGAUCUGUUGUUCUCUUCAUGGUGGAGGAGUUUCGUAAAGCUCCAGUGUAGAACAUGGAUGAAGUCAUAUAUUGUGUAAAUGGGAGCUACAGAUUGCUGGAGUUUCUGCUAUGUGUCUCACACACACACACACACACACACACCAACUCUUUGCUAAGUUCUGACUGUAAACAGACACUGUCAUGUAAUGCAUCAGCACUGUCUCUGCCUCACUGUCAGUGAUUUGUUACCUCACCAGGUUGCGGUGUGCGUGGUGUGCUAUGGUGUAUCAGAGACUGUAUUUGGCGAGUGGAGUGUGAUGGGAAGCACCAUCAUCUUGGUCCACUCGUACUAUAACGUCUGGCUCAGAGCCCAGCUGGGCUGGCAGAGCUUCCUGCUCAGGAGAGAUGCUGUACACAAGAUAAAAAGCCUCCCUACAGCUAGCAAUACACAGCUGGAGCAGUAUAAUGACAUCUGUGCUAUCUGCUUCCAGGUAUGAACAGUUUUUAUGUUUAUCUAAAGAGGAUGCAUGACCCAGACUUAAUCUGGGGCUGGAGCCAGGCAAACUCUACUGGUCCAUCAUCACAAUCUAACCCACCAACUCCCCAUUCAGUGGAACCUCCUCCACGUCCUCCACCUCCUCCUCCAUUCAACCCCUGAGCUCCAUUUUAACACACACACAACAUACAUACAUGCAUAUAUAAUUACACAAUCUAAAUAAUCCCCUAUUCUACUUGUCCAGCUGUUUGCUGUUGGCUCUCCCAUCAUGUCCAACUUCAUAUCCAUGUUAUGUUUCAAAUGAUCUAAAACAAUCUCUAAGCAGAAAUUCAUCACUCGGCAUUAAAAAAUGUAAAAAAGAGGACAAUGAUCGCAGCUUUACAAAAUGUUAGUACUCGUUAGGCAGUUGUCUUGGAGCAGUGAAACGUAUCCCAUGAUAGGUGUAACCCAUGCCAGCAGUGAUUUCAUCACAGGUGCAGUUGUUUUCCACAUGUUCUUUCACAGGGAUUCAAAUUUAAUACAAAAA